GUCUAUGGCCAUGCCACCCUGAACAAGCCUGAUCCCGUCUGAUCUCGGAAGCUAAGCAGGGUUGGGCCUGGUUAGUACUUGAAUGGGAGACCACCUAGGAAGACCAGGUACUGUAGGUG
rnacentral:rRNA from 1 species